ACGACGCUGGCGGCGUGCUUAACACAUGCAAGUGGAGCGACGAACCGGGGCUUGCCCCGGGGCAGAGCCGCGAACGGGUGAGUAACACGUGGGUAACCUGCCUCAAUGAUUGGGACAACCCGGGGAAACUCGGGCUAAUACCAAAUGUGUUCACUCCUUCCAAGGGGAGUGAGGAAAGGAAGCUUCGGCCUCCGCAUUGAGAUGGGCCCGCGGCCCAUUAGCUUGUUGGUGAGGUAACGGCUCACCAAGGCUUCGAUGGGUAGCUGGUCUGAGAGGACGAUCAGCCGCACUGGGACUGAGACACGGCCCAGACUCCUACGGGAGGCAGCAGUGGGGAAUCUUGCACAAUGCGCGAAAGCGUGAUGCAGCAACGCCGCGUGGGGAAGACGGCCUUCGGGUUGUAAACCCCUUUCAGUUGGGACGAAGCUUCGUCGGUGAAUAGCCGGUUGGAGUGACGGUACCUUCAGAAGAAGCCCCGGCUAACUACGUG
rnacentral:rRNA from 1 species